GGUCAAGUGAAGAAGCGCAUACGGUGGAUGCCUUGGCAGUCAGAGGCGAUGAAAGACGUGGUAGCCUGCGAAAAGCUUCGGGGAGUCGGCAAACAGACUUUGAUCCGGAGAUCUCUGAAUGGGGGAACCCACCUAGGAUAACCUAGGUAUCUUGUACUGAAUCCAUAGGUGCAAGAGGCGAACCAGGGGAACUGAAACAUCUAAGUACCCUGAGGAAAAGAAAUCAACCGAGAUUCCCUUAGUAGUGGCGAGCGAACGGGGAUUAGCCCUUAAGCUUCAUUGAUUUUAGCGGAACGCUCUGGAAAGUGCGGCCAUAGUGGGUGAUAGCCCCGUACGCGAAAGGAUCUUUGAAGUGAAAUCGAGUAGGACGGAGCACGAGAAACUUUGUCUGAACAUGGGGGGACCAUCCUCCAAGGCUAAAUACUACUGACUGACCGAUAGUGAACCAGUACCGUGAGGGAAAGGCGAAAAGAACCCCGGAGAGGGGAGUGAAAUAGAACCUGAAACCGUAUGCGUACAAGCAGUGGGAGCCUACUUGUUAGGUGACUGCGUACCUUUUGUAUAAUGGGUCAGCGACUUAUAUUCAGUGGCAAGCUUAACCGUAUAGGGUAGGCGUAGCGAAAGCGAGUCUUAAUAGGGCGUUUAGUCGCUGGGUAUAGACCCGAAACCGGGCGAUCUAUCCAUGAGCAGGUUGAAGGUUAGGUAACACUGACUGGAGGACCGAACCCACUCCCGUUGAAAAGGUAGGGGAUGACUUGUGGAUCGGAGUGAAAGGCUAAUCAAGCUCGGAGAUAGCUGGUUCUCCUCGAAAGCUAUUUAGGUAGCGCCUCAUGUAUCACUCUGGGGGGUAGAGCACUGUUUCGGCUAGGGGGUCAUCCCGACUUACCAAACCGAUGCAAACUCCGAAUACCCAGAAGUGCCGAGCAUGGGAGACACACGGCGGGUGCUAACGUCCGUCGUGAAAAGGGAAACAACCCAGACCGCCAGCUAAGGUCCCAAAGUUGUGGUUAAGUGGUAAACGAUGUGGGAAGGCUUAGACAGCUAGGAGGUUGGCUUAGAAGCAGCCACCNNNNNNNNNNNNNNNNNNNNNNNNNNNNNNNNNNNNNNNNNNNNNNNNNNNNNNNNNNNNNNNNNNNNNNNNNNNNNNNNNNNNNNNNNNNNNNNNNCCCUUUAAAGAAAGCGUAAUAGCUCACUAGUCGAGUCGGCCUGCGCGGAAGAUGUAACGGGGCUCAAACCACACACCGAAGCUGCGGGUGUCACGUAAGUGACGCGGUAGAGGAGCGUUCUGUAAGCCUGUGAAGGUGAGUUGAGAAGCUUGCUGGAGGUAUCAGAAGUGCGAAUGCUGACAUGAGUAACGACAAUGGGUGUGAAAAACACCCACGCCGAAAGACCAAGGGUUCCUGCGCAACGUUAAUCGACGCAGGGUUAGUCGGUUCCUAAGGCGAGGCUGAAAAGCGUAGUCGAUGGGAAACAGGUUAAUAUUCCUGUACUUCUGGUUACUGCGAUGGAGGGACGGAGAAGGCUAGGCCAGCUUGGCGUUGGUUGUCCAAGUUUAAGGUGGUAGGCUGAAAUCUUAGGUAAAUCCGGGGUUUCAAGGCCGAGAGCUGAUGACGAGUCGUCUUUUAGAUGACGAAGUGGUUGAUGCCAUGCUUCCAAGAAAAGCUUCUAAGCUUCAGGUAACCAGGAACCGUACCCCAAACCGACACAGGUGGUCGGGUAGAGAAUACCAAGGCGCUUGAGAGAACUCGGGUGAAGGAACUAGGCAAAAUGGCACCGUAACUUCGGGAGAAGGUGCGCCGGCUAGGGUGAAGGAUUUACUCCGUAAGCUCUGGCUGGUCGAAGAUACCAGGCCGCUGCGACUGUUUAUUAAAAACACAGCACUCUGCAAACACGAAAGUGGACGUAUAGGGUGUGACGCCUGCCCGGUGCCGGAAGGUUAAUUGAUGGGGUUAGCGCAAGCGAAGCUCUUGAUCGAAGCCCCGGUAAACGGCGGCCGUAACUAUAACGGUCCUAAGGUAGCGAAAUUCCUUGUCGGGUAAGUUCCGACCUGCACGAAUGGCGUAACGAUGGCGGCGCUGUCUCCACCCGAGACUCAGUGAAAUUGAAAUCGCUGUGAAGAUGCAGUGUAUCCGCGGCUAGACGGAAAGACCCCGUGAACCUUUACUGUAGCUUUGCACUGGACUUUGAGCCUGCUUGUGUAGGAUAGGUGGGAGGCUUUGAAGCGUGGACGCCAGUUCGCGUGGAGCCAUCCUUGAAAUACCACCCUGGCAUGCUUGAGGUUCUAACUCUGGUCCGUAAUCCGGAUCGAGGACAGUGUAUGGUGGGCAGUUUGACUGGGGCGGUCUCCUCCUAAAGAGUAACGGAGGAGUACGAAGGUGCGCUCAGACCGGUCGGAAAUCGGUCGCAGAGUAUAAAGGCAAAAGCGCGCUUGACUGCGAGACAGACACGUCGAGCAGGUACGAAAGUAGGUCUUAGUGAUCCGGUGGUUCUGUAUGGAAGGGCCAUCGCUCAACGGAUAAAAGGUACUCCGGGGAUAACAGGCUGAUACCGCCCAAGAGUUCAUAUCGACGGCGGUGUUUGGCACCUCGAUGUCGGCUCAUCACAUCCUGGGGCUGAAGCCGGUCCCAAGGGUAUGGCUGUUCGCCAUUUAAAGUGGUACGCGAGCUGGGUUUAGAACGUCGUGAGACAGUUCGGUCCCUAUCUGCCGUGGACGUUUGAGAUUUGAGAGGGGCUGCUCCUAGUACGAGAGGACCGGAGUGGACGAACCUCUGGUGUUCCGGUUGUCACGCCAGUGGCAUUGCCGGGUAGCUAUGUUCGGAAAAGAUAACCGCUGAAAGCAUCUAAGCGGGAAACUUGCCUCAAGAUGAGAUCUCACUGGGAACUUGAUUCCCCUGAAGGGCCGUCGAAGACUACGACGUUGAUAGGCUGGGUGUGUAAGCGUUGUGAGGCGUUGAGCUAACCAGUACUAAUUGCCCGUGAGGCUUGACCAU
rnacentral:rRNA from 1 species